GGCCGGUUAGCUCAGCUGGUUAGAGCGUGGUGCUAAUAACGCCAAGGUCGUGGGUUCGAUCACUGUACUGGCCA
rnacentral:tRNA from 1 species